rnacentral:rRNA from 1 species
UACGUAGGGACCAAGCGUUGUUCGGAUUUACUGGGCGUAAAGGGCGCGUAGGCGGCUUAACAAGUCACUUGUGAAAUCUCCGGGCUUAACUCGGAACGGCCAAGUGAAACUGUCAAGCUAGAGUGCAGAAGGGGCAAUCGGAAUUCUUGGUGUAGCGGUGAAAUGCGUAGAUAUCAAGAGGAACACCUGAGGUGAAGACGGGUGGCUGGGCUGACACUGACGCUGAGGCGCGAAAGCCAGGGGAGCAAACAGG